rnacentral:rRNA from 1 species
UACGUAGGGGGCAAGCGUUGUCCGGAAUCAUUGGGCGUAAAGAGCGUGUAGGCGGUUCGGUAAGUCGGCUGUGAAAGUCCAGGGCUCAACCCUGGGAUGCCGGUCGAUACUGCCGGACUAGAGUUCGGAAGAGGCGAGUGGAAUUCCCGGUGUAGCGGUGAAAUGCGCAGAUAUCGGGAGGAACAUCUGUGGCGAAGGCGACACCCUGGACCAGCACUGACACUGAGGCACGAAAGCGUGGGGAGCAAACAGG